GGAAGUCCUUCUGGAGAGAGCUCAUCUCCAGGCUGGAGGGCUUCCUACAACAGCAGGUCCCAGCACAGGGGGAAGACCUUCCCCUGCCGUGUGCCCCCGCUCUGUCUCCAAGUCCUUGGCUGGAUGUAAACGCAAGGGCUUGGAAGAAGCGAAGCCAACAGCAGUGCAGCUGCCUGCUAACAAAAGAGUGAGGGGGCCGAGCGGAGACAGCGUGCCAGCUCCAGCAGCACACCCUGGGCCUGCUGCAGCGCGGAGCUCCAAGCUAAGAGCGAGAAGACGCCAAGAGAAAGAGAGGAGAGGGGAAUCGAUGAAGGCUGCCCUCAGAGCUGCCGCUGCACGUGCAGAGGCCUCCGCAGUGAACAGCCUUGUGGAGAUGAUGCAGAAGCUGCAGCUGAAGGACUGAGAGGAGGAGCGUCAGCAGGCAGCGGCUGCAGUGCGCGGCGUUACAGGGCAGCGCUGCGAGUGCCGCCCAACUCGGCACUCCAACUUCAGAUGGA